rnacentral:tRNA from 1 species
AGGGAUAUAGUUAAUUAUAACAUUUAAAUUGCAAUUAAAAAGUAUUGGAAACAAUUAUUCUUA